rnacentral:rRNA from 1 species
AGAUUGAACGCUGGCGGCAGGCCUAACACAUGCAUGUCGAGCGGCAGCACGGGUACUUGUAUCUGGUGGCGAGCGGCGGACGGGUGAGUAAUGCCUAGGAAUCUGCCUGGUAGUGGGGGAUAACGCUCGGAAACGGACGCUAAUACCGCAUACGUCCUACGGGAGAAAGCAGGGGACCUUCGGGCCUUGCGCUAUCAGAUGAGCCUAGGUCGGAUUAGCUAGUUGGUGGGGUAAUGGCUCACCAAGGCGACGAUCCGUAACUGGUCUGAGAGGAUGAUCAGUCACACUGGAACUGAGACACGGUCCAGACCUCCGU